CCGCUGGCACGUUCAUUAGAAGGUUUUCAUUGAUGUUUCAAAACGAAUGAGAAGGGGGCGGCAAGUAGGUAAAUCCGGCCCUGCCUACAAUGGUAACUCAUUCUAACCACUUAACGGGAAAGGCGUACGUUUAAAUGCCUACACCAGGUUCAAUAAAACCGUCCCUUUAAAUGAUGCUUAAAUAUCCUCCAUCAAAGACAGCUACGAGAUGUUUCUCAGUUAUCAAUGUAUCUUUGUAGUGCGCUUUUAUCAACGUGCAUGCUAUAUUUUUGCAAGAAUGUCCAUCUAAUGAUUCUUGAUUUAUCAUCUUACCUCAUAUAUACUUUAUUUUGCUUCCAGGUGAGAAAUCAUUGCUUUGUCCUCUCGGAAGGAAAGACUCAUUUCUGGCAUUUACGUAUAAGUUUCUCUCCUCAUGAUUCAGGUAGCAGCAGUUUAUUUUGGAACACGAUGGAUAUCAGAUAUUGGCGGUGCAUAAUCAAGAAAGGAAGUCAUUGUCCAGAUGAUGAUAUCAGAAUAUAUCUUUAUUCCAGGUGAGAUCUGAAGUCUUUAAUUGUUUUACAAUUUUUCCCUGUUACUACAUCAUAAUCUUAUACAAAUACAUAAUAAUCACAUACAACUAAUCUAUUGUCGAAAGGAAACAGAAAUUACGAUCGAAUACCACCAAUAGCAACGUCGAAAACGAAUGUGAGUGGUUUUCUAGUCGUGCCAUUUAUGUGUUACCAAAAUUUAACGAACGAGUGAGGCUGCGUGAAAUCCGAAACUCUGUUGUGACAGUGAAAUUGCGUAUUUCAAAUCCGAAGGGGCUUUUAUUGAGUGAAAAUUGACUGUUCAUAUACGGAAUCUUCUGCGUGGUUAUAUAUUGAUGCUUCAAUAGGUAGACAAAAUAGUAUUAAGCAAAUCGUCGUUGGGCGCGUCGCGGUCUUUGAAUCGCAAUUCUACAUAUUUUUUCCCCCCCAGAAUGAUAAAAUCAUAAUUCGAUGUUGAGGUCUUCGGUCAUUUUUUAUUAAUUUAAUAGAAGACUAAUUUAUAACCUCCAGUUAUGCUUGAAAUUAUCUGUGAAUUUACUCGUCGAAGAAUAUUCACAGACGAGUUCAAGGAAGUGGUCGGUUUCUGGGUAGUUAGUUUUAAAAACCUGAAACACAACGAGACAUUUUUAAACGUUGGAAUAUUGAGAUGCUCAAUUUUCGACUUUAGCCGUGCGAUGGUUGUUUUUUCUUGCCUGAGUGACGCAUUGCUAGUGAAUUGCAAUAGCGCACCUGCGGACAAGAGAGGAAAAAAUAUGGCAAAUUUUACGGAAAGCCUAAGCUCCUUAAUUUUUUGGGACGCAAUACAUGGAAACCACUGACCACAUGUAGUUGCAUAAAGCGUUUUGCUUUCUUAUCCGCUCGUUAAAGUCUCCGGGUUGUUUAUGGCCACACUGACCGAUGCAUUCGUGACAGUGAAAUUCAAAAUAAAGCUAAUCUGCCCAUGAUGCAUUUUUAUGCCA
rnacentral:lncRNA from 1 species